UCUAAGGAUGUUUCUUUUGGGAGUUUGGCUCCGGCCGAUCUGCUACUCGAGACGUCAUUGGAUACAUGAAGCCCAGUCAGGGCUUCGAUUGGCGGGACCUGGAGAGGCCGCCCUCGUUUCUCUUUCUCAUCCGGAUAAGCGGGAUCGCUGGACGCGGCGUUGCGUGAUGCAACGGCUGUCGAUCGGGCGACCGGCUGGGGCCUGUAGCUCAGGUGGUUAGAGCGCACCCCUGAUAAGGGUGAGGUCGGACGUUCGAGUCGUCCCAGGCCCACCAUGAUCAGGGGACGUAGCUCAGCUGGGAGAGCAGUUGCUUUGCAAGCAUCAGGUCGUCGGUUCGAUCCCGUCCGUCUCCACCAGCGCUUCUUCGUGAGGCGCGGUCGUAUCCGGAGAGAGAGUGCAAGUUUGCCCUUGUGAGUGCUGAGCGCCGCAGGCGGCAUUGAUAUCGAACAUCGUGAAGAGGGAAUGUGGCCGCAGGUUCCGCGAAAGCGGGUCGCCUGUUGCAGGUCAUGUUCGGCAAGCAUGUGAUGCGGGUUCCGAGAGGAGCCUGCAUCACUGGUCUUUAUCGUGACCGUGGCUGGGUGAUCGGCAGCAGCUUAGCUGCUGCGGAUCACACCGGACAUCGAUCAUGAGAGC
rnacentral:tRNA from 1 species